CAGAGUACAUGCCCCUUACGGGUAGUUCUCCCACCCUAUGUUAUCAUUACCUUUGUUGCUUUGGUGGGCCGCCAGGCCUUGGUCAGGCUACCGGCUCCGGCUGGUAAGCGCCCGCCAGAGGACCCCAAACUCUGAAUGUUAGUGUUGUCUGAGUACUAUACAAUAGUUA
rnacentral:misc_RNA from 1 species